rnacentral:rRNA from 1 species
AGUGUAGAUUCAGAGUUUGAUCCUGGCUCAGGAUGAACGCUGGCGGCGUGCUUAACACAUGCAAGUCGAACGGAAAGGCCUCAGCUUGCUGGGGUACUCGAGUGGCGAACGGGUGAGUAACACGUGGGUGAUCUGCCCUGCACUUUGGGAUAAGCUUGGGAAACUGGGUCUAAUACCGAAUAUGACCACUUCUUGGAUGUUGUGGUGGAAAGCUUUUGCGGUGUGGGAUGAGCCUGCGGCCUAUCAGCUUGUUGGUGGGGUAAUGGCCUACCAAGGCGGCGACGGGUAUCCGGCCUGAGAGGGUGUACGGACACAUUGGGGCUGAGAUACGGCCCAG